CCUACGGGUGGCAGCAGUGAGGAAUAUUGGUCAAUGGACGAGAGCCUGAACCAGCCAAGUCGCGUGAAGGAUUACUGCCCUAUGGGUUGUAAACUUCUUUUAUCUGGGAAUAAAAUGUUCCACGUGUGGGAUUUUGUAUGUACCAUAUGAAUAAGGAUCGGCUAACUCCGUGCCAGCAGCCGCGGUAAUACGGAGGAUCCGAGCGUUAUCCGGAUUUAUUGGGUUUAAAGGGAGCGUAGGUGGGUUGUUAAGUCAGUUGUGAAAGUUUGCGGCUCAACCAUCAAAUUGCAGUUGAAACUGGCAGUCUUGAGUACAGUAGAGGUGGGCGGAAUUCGUGGUGUAGCGGUGAAAUGCUUAGAUAUCACGAAGAACUCCGAUUGCGAAGGCAGCUCACUGGACUGCAACUGACACUGAGGCUCGAAAGUGUGGGUAUCAAACAGGAUUAGAUACCCGAGUAGUC
rnacentral:rRNA from 1 species